UACGGAGGGGGCUAGCGUUGUCCGAAGUUACUGGGCGUAAAGCGCGCGUAGGCGGGUUGGUAAGUCCGCUGUGAAAGCCCGGAGCUCAACUCCGGAGGGUCGGUGGAUACUGCCAGUCUUGAAGGUGCUAGGGGGAGAUGGAAUUACCGGUGUAGCGGUGAAAUGCGUAGAUAUCGGUAGGAACACCAGUGGCGAAGGCG
rnacentral:rRNA from 1 species